GAUGAAGAACGUAGCGAAAUGCGAUAAGUAAUGUGAAUUGCAGAAUUCAGUGAAUCAUCGAAUCUUUGAACGCACAUUGCGCCCGCCAGUAUUCUGGCGGGCAUGCCUGUUCGAGCGUCAUUACAACCCUCAGGCCCCCGGGCCUGGCGUUGGGGAUCGGCGGGGCCCCCCGUGGGCACACGCCGUCCCCCAAAUGCAGUGGCGGUCCCGCCGCAGCUUCCAUCGCGUAGUAGCUAACACCUCGCGACUGGAGAGCGGCGCGGCCACGCCGUAAAACACCCAACUCUUCUGAAGUUGACCUCGAAUCAGGUAGGAAUACCCGCUGAACUUAAGCAUAUCAAUAAGCGGAGGA
rnacentral:misc_RNA from 1 species